rnacentral:rRNA from 1 species
GUCUAUGGCCAUGCUACCCUAAACAACCGCUAUCCCAUCUGAUCUCGGAAACUAAGCAGGGUCGGGCCUGGUUAGUACUUGAAUGGGAGACCACCUAGGAAGACCAGGUGCUGUAGGUG